GGAGUAUAGAAUGGAAGAGCCCCAGGA
rnacentral:piRNA from 1 species